AAGGAUUUCCAAGAAAAGCUGAGCUACUUUAAAUUGCAGCAUCAGAAGAGAGUCACAGAUUUAAAGAUUGUCCAGUUGCCUGUGGAAUGGCAACUCAGGAUGUUUCUUCAGAUAAGAAAAGAAUUGUUACAAUGGGCCAUCUGCCAGAACAUGGAAAUAGUUUCAUCUUCAAAACUCAAACGGCAAUACUAUUCCUUUUCAACAUUACAUCCAUGGAGCAUAUUCCUAGAGAGCAGAUUCUGUGUUCAGCAGAGCCUUACAAGACACAGAAGUACUUUGGCGCAGACUAUGUCCUAGGUUAACAAUACCAGGUUACUUUUUGUGAGGAAGAAGCAGGUUUGCAAGAUAUUCGUAUCAUUACUAAAGAAUAACAACAGACAAAAAUGUGCCUGGUUCACAUGUGCUAAAGUCAGUACAGAGUUCCCUGCUUCCUUGUGUCCAAGACGACGGCUGCACUUUCUCUGCCUGUGCCUCGCUUAC
rnacentral:lncRNA from 10 species